GGGUUUGUUACCACUGAGCCAUGACAGGAACUCCAAGGAAAGUAUUUUAAAUAUAACAUUUGAUGAAGAAAAUACUGUACCUUUGAGUUCCUGUGGCUUAAUUUCUGAUCAUCAGAUUGCACUUAUGAAGGCUAACAUCCUCAGUGCAUACGUUUGCCGAAGAAAUCUAGUUAGUACUGAGUAGCAUUGUCAGGGCACCUGUUGACCUUCUUGGGUCACUGUAGUUAGGGAUGUAUCCAGAAACACAAGCUACCAUGGUGGAAACCUUAUUCUGAGAUGUUGUGAGGGCUGCGAUGCUAUUGGUGAGGGCAGAGGUAUAAAUUUGGCUACCUUUUAUUUCCUCAGUAAUUGGGAACUUACUCAAGAUUAAUUGUGCCAGCACCUACUUAAACUGGUUUUCAUUUUAUCUGCUCAAGCAUGUAACACCUGGUCUUUGCUGAGGGUUGGAAAAGUACUAAUCUACCUUUUUACAUAUGGAAAUUAGUGUUCCAGGCACUGCAUUAAAAACCGGGGGAGAAUGUAUUAUUAAUGGGAUAGGUCUCUCUGUGUCUCAAACAAGGGAAAAGGGAAGUCACUUAUAUGGCCACUGUCAGGAAGGAUAGAGAUAGACUCUUAGGGCUAGUUCUUAACCAAUUUUAUAUUAUUAUUAUUAUUACUGAGAGAUACGUAAGGAGAAACACUUGAGUAAAUUACUUUCACAGUGUGCAGCUUGUAGACACCAAUGUGUAAUUGUGUCAUCCCGUAAGCUUCAGUAUAUUGAGUACAUUUUUUAUAGGAUGCCACAUUAUCAAAGGUUAGAAAAAUAGUUAUAAAUUUGGGUGUUUUGUAUUGUAAAAAUUAUCUGAAGACUUUGAAUCACUUUUGGUUUGAAUAAGCUCCCAUCAUCUGUUUGCUGGCUUCCAAGCUUUACGUUUUAGGUUUGUUUUUGUCUACACAUGUAUAAUUGAGCUGAAAAUGUGUGCCAAUAAGUAGAGGGGCUGCAGAACUGCAUUCAGCUUCCGCUUAAGUCUGCAUAUUAAAGUCUUCCUUUUGUUGCAUGUGCUGGUCUUGCAGACUCUGUAGAGCCUUAUCAAAUGCAGCCAGUUGGUGCUGCUGGUAUGAAAGCACAGGGGAGCUCUCAUGUGGAAGGUUAAUGGAGUGUAAUUAUAAAGAAAAAUGAACUGCUCAGCCACUCUAUCUCACUCUACCUGCACCAAGAGUGACAAGUGCUCUGAUCUUUUAUAAACCCUGGAGCAGAGGUUUAACCAUCUAAAAUUAUGACAGUAUAACUGUCACACAAACAAACACCCUGUGAAGCAUAGGUAUGCACCCCUGUGUAGGAAUGAUUCCUUCCUGUUAUAAGGAGUCUCAGGUAGGAAAGGAGUACCUUCAACCGCCAAGAAAAGCUGCUUGUUAAACAUUGUACUUUUGUGUCACUUCUUCUUUUCCACUCAAUUUGUCCCAUUUUCUUUUCCUAUAGAUACUUUCUCCCCUCUGAUUAGUGGCAAGGCUGACAGCCUGCACACAAGCAGGUCCAUUUCACUGUAUCCAUCAGACGACACAUAUCCUUGCUUUCUCCAAGCAGGUCUAUCACACUUGCCCUCCCAGCCAUCCUUAAAUCAGCUGGGUUCUUUUAAAAGGAAUGGAAACAACUUUCUCUUCUCAUUCUCAGCAUCUAAGCAGAGUAGGUUGUAAGCAGGAAGCCCUAUGUCGGGAUGUCUGUAGAGCAGAGAGAUUAUGACACACAUCUGAGGGCUCAAGAUGGAGUUAGAUCCUAAGGUACCACAGGAAAUAUGUAGUAAGGAAAAUUGCAACUGAGAGGUGCAAGGACGGAGAAGGACCAAGGAGGCAUUCACAGGGCGUGAUGACUAGACAAAUCUCUAUUACUACUGUGUCACGUUGCCUGUAAAUGUUGCAAAUUCGUCCUGCUAUGGGAACAUCUGAAGGAUAAGUGGAGCUGGAUCAUGGCACCGGGUUGAUUGAGUACUUUUGCCAGCUCAGCUCAGAGUUGAAAUAAGGUGUUGCAGAAUGAUGCAGCAAUAGCAAACCCCCUGACAUCUUGUUCUUACCAAGUCUGAAACAUCACCACGCCUGGUGAGGCUGUGCUGCCUACUGAGAUGAGUAAAUUCAGCAUCACGUACAUUAGGCCUGUGGAGACUAAGCAGAAGUGAUGGCUCUGUCGCUUGCACAGCAGUCUUAUUGACUGAGCCUUGGUCUUGUGUGGCAGGUGGGGGAGGGUCGGCAGGAUUCCUAGUAUUGGCUCUGAAAGCAGGGAAGCUGAUUUUAAAACCUCUCUGUGUGCUUUAUAAUGUCGCUUCCCCAGCCCCUUUGCCUAUGGGUUGGAUCAUCUGUGCUCUAUUUAAAAAGCAAAAUAGCUGUAUAGUUUUUACGACAGUAGAAUAAAUCUGUUAGUGAAUAAAAAUUUUAAAUCCAACUUCAUAUUGGUGGCUAGUAUAUAAAGUUUGCUGUGAUUUACUCCCUUAAAUAGCCAGUAGAACCCAACAUUUUUGCCAGUCUAAAUGUUGCCAGCAUCCAUUACAUUUGUUAAAUUGAAGUCAUUGUUCCAGAAUUGAAGUUUUUGGCUUGAAGUGGAGGGUUAGCAACAGAAUCUUAGAAUUGUCUGUCAUACUCUGUCGAUGAGGAAGCAUAUCAUUCUUGUUGGGUUGGCUCCAGCAUGUAGCCCUACUCUGCUACCAGAGAAAAUACCGUUGAUGACAGAAGUGCUGUCUCUCUGGCAUUUUGGAGCAAGUUAUCCAGCACUGCACAGUCUCUUUAAGAACAUUCCCAGCCCUUGGAGUGCUCAGAGCUUAUAGGGAGUUUGCCUUACGAUGGUCACUAUCAGUGGCAUUUGCUCAAGACCCAUCACUUGAGCCAUCCACACCUCACCCCUGGCUGUCCCAUUUCCCACCUUGACCGCACCCUCCAGCUCCUCUCCUGCUUGGCCCCUGCCGCUGGUGCAGGUUAUUCCUCCUCGGCUUCCCACAGCCUGUCUGUUUCCUGGCGGUUACUCUAUCUAGAGACUGAUGUCCAGCAAAAGACCUCGCGCUCCCUGGCCCAGCUCCCCACGCCAGAACACUCCACAUGUAGUCAGUCCACUUGGACGCCACCCAAGCUCCUGUCAGCCCCAGAAGUACUGCCUCAGACAAAUGAGUUCCAGCUCUUUAUUCGGUGAACAGAGUUUCAUUCAGACCAGUUUUCCAGAGGAGAGGAGUCCAUACUCUAGCGCCCUUUUUACUGUGAAGUAACUGUGUACCUUUUGGUGGGUCAUCAGUCACCUCAGUUUCCCUGUCUGAAUCAAAGACAAUUACCUAAUUCACCCCCGCACAGUUGUGACAAUCUUAUUUGAUGAGAGGGUGUGAAAAGUUACAAGUAUAAAAUGCUGUAAAUGAUGAUUGUGGUACACCUAUAAAUGUAAUAAGCUGCAUUAAGUAUUAAAAAUAAAUAAAUAAAUAAUAAAUAAAUAAAAUUCGGUAUAAACACAUGAUUAUGUAAGCAUAAAAAAUACACCAUUAAGGAUAUAUUUGUGGGAAAUGAUUGUUCAUUUUUUCAUUUAGAGUUCACUCAGAAAGUAGGAUGCUUGAAAAUUAUUAACCCAAAUGUUUAUAGCAUAAAUUCCUUUUUUCUUUUUUUUUUUUUGUCUUUUUGCUAUUUCUUGGGCCGCUCCCACGGCAUAUGGAGGUUCCCAGGCUAGGGGUCCAAUCGGAGCCGUAGCCACCAACCUAUGCCAGAGCCACAGCAACGCAGGAUCCGAGCCGCGUCUGUGACCUACACCUCAGCUUACGGCAACGCUGGAUCGUUAACCCACUGAGCAAGGGCAGGGAUCGAACCCGCAACCUCAUGGUUCCUAGUCGGAUUCGUUAACCACUGCACCACGACGGGAACUCCAAUUCCUUUUUUCUUAAUCGUAUAAAUUAAAUAAUUUUUAAGAUUGCAGUACUUGGAAUCAAGAACCAGUUAAGAGUAGAAGAUAUUCCUAGUGUUCUGCUUGUGUUCCCAAUCUGAUGAUUAUCCUUUGCUUAUUACGUUAGUUCCCUGAACAGCUUCAACAAGGUGGUUUUCAUUUUUCUGACCUUUACAAUGUGACUAUUAUUAUUAUUUUUUUGUCUUUUUAGGGCCACACCCACAGCAUAUGGAGGUUCCCAGGCUAGGGGUUGAAUCAGAGCUACAGCUGCAGGCCUACACCACAGCCACAGCAAUGCCAGAUCUGAGCCGCAUCUGCCACCUGCACCACAGCUCAUGGCAACGCCGGAUCCUUAACCCACUGAGUGAGGCCAGGGAUCAAACCUGUGUCCUCAUGGAUGCUAGUCAGAUUCAUUAACCGCUAAGCCACAACGGGAACUCCCAACAUGGCUAUUUAAACAGCUACUCGAUCCAGCCCUAGAGAUAGCUAUGGUUCAGUGGUAGAAAAACUGAUUUCACUUCAUUCUUAAGGCGGUGUUACAUGAUGGGGAGAAGAUUAAAUUGUCCAUAAGGUACUUUAAACUAUUUGGAUAAAAUUGGAACAACUGCAGAACGUAUUGUUACUGAAGUUUUUGCUCUUUCAUAUUUUGUGUAUUGUUGACUGUCUCUGUUACAUUUUCUCUUACCAUACUCUCAGUACCCACUGAUCACUCAGCACUUUCACGUCUGUGCUGCCUCCCACUAAAGUCACACUCCAGCCAUUUGGAUUUUCUGGUUAUCUGAAAUUCUUUUGAAUCACCUUUUAUUAUUGAAAAUGUCCUAAAUAAUGACUAACUCCUCUCCUGGUUAACUAUAGUUUCAUGAAGGUUAAGUACUGUCUGGAGGUUGAACACUGGUGUCCCAUGGAUUUAAUCUAAGUAACAAAGAUAUUUCAAUAACGUUAAAAGCGAAUCUUAACGUUAGUGCCUUUAGACAAGGCAUUCCCUCUCCAGUUGACUUCCGUCUGCAUUGCCCCCUGUUAU
rnacentral:lncRNA from 1 species